UUGGUCACUUUGGAAACACAGAUAUUAAAACUGAAAAUCUACAGAGAAAAUUAGUAUGGAUCCUGCACAAGGAUGACAUCCAAAUUCAUAAAAUAUUCCAUAUUUUU